rnacentral:rRNA from 1 species
GUAGGGGCCAAACGUUGUCCGGAUUUAUUGGGCGUAAAGGGCUCGUAGGCGGUUCAGCAAGUCGGCCGUGAAAGCCCGGGGCUCAACCCCGGGACGCCGGUCGAUACUGCUGUGACUAGGGUCCGGUAGAGGUGAGUGGAAUUCUCGGUGUAGCGGUGGAAUGCGCAGAUAUCGAGAGGAACACCAGUAGCGAAGGCGGCUCACUGGGCCGGUACCGACGCUGAGGAGCGAAAGCGUGGGGAGCAAACAGGAUUAGAUACCCUGGUAGUCCACGCCGUAAACGUUGAACACUAGGUGUGGCGGAUUUAUCAACGUCUGCCGUGCCGACGCUAACGCAUUAAGUGUUCCGCCUGGGGAGUACGGCCGCAAGGCUA